GAUGAACGCUGGCGGCGUGCCUAAUACAUGCCAGUCGAGCGAACAGACGAGGAGCUUGCUCCUCUGAUGUUAGCGGCGGACGGGUGAGUAACACGUGGAUAACCUACCUAUAAGACUGGGAUAACUUCGGGAAACCGGAGCUAAUACCGGAUAACAUGUUGAACCGCAUGGUUCAACAGUGAAAGACGGUCUUGCUGUCACUUAUAGAUGGAUCCGCGCCGCAUUAGCUAGUUGGUAAGGUAACGGCUUACCAAGGCAACGAUGCGUAGCCGACCUGAGAGGGUGAUCGGCGACACUGGAACUGAGACACGGUCCAGACUCCUACGGGAGGCAGCAGUAGGGAAUCUUCCGCAAUGGGCGAAAGCAUGACGGAGCAACGCCGCGUGAGUGAAGAAGGUCUUCGGAUCGUAAAACUCUGUUAUUAGGGAAGAACAAAUGUGUAAGUAACUAUGCACGUCUUGACGGUACCUAAUCAGAAAGCCACGGCUAACUACGUG
rnacentral:rRNA from 1 species